AAUUAUUUAUAGCAUAUUUGUAAUGCAUGGAACUAGAAACAUCUGGCCUUUCAUCUUUCUCCUUGUGUAAAUUAUUAGUGUCUCGCCAUCUCUCUUACUCAGAAAACCAGCCGCCUCUUUUCUUCCCCAUUUUCCCCCCACAUAUCUAUAUUUAAAUCCUAACCCAAUAAUUUGUUAUAUUAUAUAGGUGUAAAAUAUCCAAGGAAAACUCGUCUUGUCUCUCUGUCGGUCCUCCCUCUCCUCCUUCCAAGAACCCUCCACCAUCCCCAUCAAUCUCCACCCCCCUACGACCCAAUCGCCCUUCAGUCCGUUCUAUAUAUAUGACUUCUUCCCCGCCUUUUGCUUCGUCGCCAUGACGCAAUGAGACCCGGCCCACUCCCCAAUGCGCGGCCGGGGCAGCCCGGCCAACCCGCCCGCCCCCGCCGCCGGCCAGGCCUCACCCUUCCCCUCCCCCAGCGCGAUCCCCCGUCCUUCGCCGUCCCUCUCCCCCUCCCUCCCCCCUCCACCCCCGCCUCCUUCUCCGCCGCCGCCCCCGGCGGUGCCCAGCCCCCGACCGCCGCCACCCCGCAGACCCCGGCGCUCGCCGACCUCGAUCGCCUCCGCCGCAUCGGCAGCGGCAACGGCGGCUCCGUCUGGAUGGUGCGCCACCGGCCCACCGGCCGGAUCUAUGCCCUCAAGGUGAUCUAUGGCAACCACGAGGACGCCGCCCGCCGCCAGAUCUGUCGCGAGAUCGAGAUCCUCCGCACCGCCGACCAUCCCCAUGUGGUCCGGUGCCACGGCUUCUAUGACCGGGCGGGAGACAUCCAUAUCCUUCUCGAGUACAUGGACGGCGGCUCCCUCGACGGCCGCCGCGUCGCCUCCGAGCCCGUCCUCGCCGACAUCGCCCGCCAGGUCCUCGCCGGCCUCGCCUACCUUCACAGCCGCCGGAUCGUCCACCGCGACAUCAAGCCCUCCAACCUCCUCAUCAACUCCGCCCGCCAGGUCAAGAUCGCCGACUUCGGGGUCAGCCGAAUCUUGGCCCGGACCAUGGGCACCUGUAAUUCCUCGGUGGGGACGAUCGCCUACAUGAGCCCCGAGCGGAUUAACACCGACCUUAACGAGGGGGUCUACCACGGCUACUUCGGCGAUAUUUGGAGCUUCGGCCUCAGUAUGCUCGAGUUCUAUCUGGGGCGGUUCCCCUUCGCGGAGCAACUGGGGCGGCAGGUCGGGGACUGGGCCAGCCUCAUGUGCGCCAUCUGCUACUCCAACCCACCGGAGGCGCCGCCCACCGCCUCGCCGGAGUUCCGAAACUUCAUCGCCUGCUGCCUCCAGAAGGAGCCCCACCGCCGGCCCACCGCCGCCCAGCUCCUCCGCCACCCCUUCAUCACCCAGGCCCAGGUCACCGCCCCGGUGGCACGGUCUCCGCCGCAUAAUUUCGUACCGCUGACGUAGAAUUUGCUCUCUUUUUUUUCUUUUCUGCCUGAAAGAUCCUUUAUUUCUUUCUACUCCAAAUUGGGUUGUCGUGCCCACAAAAAGAAAGAUGAAAUAUGGUUUGUGAUCGAAAUGGGAACUUCUUUUCUGGACGACCAGGAUGGAAUAGAGCUUUGAUAUAAGAGGAAAGGAUGAUAGUAGAAAUAUAGGUACGAUGAAGUGGCUCAUGCC